GACGAACGCUGGCGGCGUGCUUAACACAUGCAAGUCGAACGCUGAAGACCUGGCUUUUGUUGGGUUGGAUGAGUGGCGAACGGGUGAGUAACACGUGAGUAACCUGCCCUCUUCUUUGGGAUAACGCCCGGAAACGGGUGCUAAUACUGGAUAUUCACUGAUCUUCGCAUGGGGGUUGGUGGAAAGGUUUGUUCUGGUGGGGGAUGGGCUCGCGGCCUAUCAGCUUGUUGGUGGGGUGAUGGCCUACCAAGGCUUUGACGGGUAGCCGGCCUGAGAGGGUGACCGGUCACAUUGGGACUGAGAUACGGCCCAGACUCCUACGGGAGGCAGCAGUGGGGAAUAUUGCACAAUGGGCGAAAGCCUGAUGCAGACGCCGCGUGAGGGAUGGAGGCCUUCGGGUUGUAAACCUCUUUCGCUCAUGGUCAAGCCGCAACUGUGGGUUGUGGUGAGGGUAGUGGGUAAAGAAGCGCCGGCUAACUACGUG
rnacentral:rRNA from 1 species